rnacentral:rRNA from 1 species
UACGUAGGGUGCGAGCGUUAAUCGGAAUUACUGGGCGUAAAGGGUGCGCAGGCGGUUAUAUAAGACAGAUGUGAAAUCCCCGGGCUCAACCUGGGAACUGCGUUUGUGACUGUAUGACUAGAGUACGGUAGAGAGGGGUGGAAUUCCUGGUGUAGCAGUGAAAUGCGUAGAGAUCAGCAGGAACACCCGUGGCGAAGGCGGCCCCUGGGCCGAACCUGACGCUGAGGCGACGAAGGCUAGGGGAGCGAA